AAGGAUAUGUUUGUGACUGAUUGAUGGUGCUGUUGGUGAAUUGUAGGUUUGAUAAUGUUAUUUGGGGUUUUAAGUUGCUAUGUGCAGAAUUUACUUGAAGGCUAAAGGCCAUGUUUUAUGAUUGAAUUAGUUGGUAGUAUAAGUUGUUGUGCUUGAGAUGGGUUCUGUUAUAACUAAACCCAGUUGGAUGAUGAUGAAUGAUGAUUUAUUAUGUGAAUGAAUGAUAGAAAGUACAUGUGAAAAUUCUGUUUUUAACAUGAUGCAGAAAAAUGAAUGUUCACUUGUGUAUAAGCACUUGAAAACUUGGAAAAUAUUGACUCUGGAUUUUUGGGACUGCGCUAAUCACUCUAGCAACUUUGGUUAGUCACAAGAAAGUUGGAAUUAUGGUUUUAGGGGAGUUUUUGGCUUAAAUAUAAGAUUUGGUAUGUGAGGUUGUUGGAAUUACUUGAUGCAGAAUUUCUGCAUAUUUGGCAGUGACUUAAAAUAAAUUCUGGUAAUAGUCCAGACCACCUUUUUGGAUAAAAUUAUUUUUCUGUAAAACUCAGGUGUGUCUUGAAUGUGCCAUAAAAAUUUCAAGGGAUUUGGCCAAGUGGUUUAAAAGAUAUGAAUUUUUGAAAACAGUAGCUGCUGCAGAAUUUUUCUGGUUUUCUGGUUCUGCAACAUUGAUUUCAAACCACUGGAACUUUUGUUUUACGUAACAUUUUAAGUUGCCACCAAAGGGGUUUUGAAGAUCUGCAUCUUCACUUUAAUUGAGUACAAAUUUCAUGUUCAUAUCUAUUUUGUAGACUUAAUUAAGUCACUUGGAAGCUGGGUUGCUUGCUGGAAAUUCUAAACUGAUUUAUGAAAACAGGGCAUUACUUCCAAUGGAGAAUUAAUUAAUCAAAUGAAGUGAUAUGAACUUAAAACUUGUUUGUUUUGAAACUUAGGAAAGUUGAGUGUAAUCUACCCAAAAUUUAGAAGCAGCGGAUUAGAAUUGAAAUUAUUAUGGAUUUUAUAAAAACGCUGCUGCUUGCUGUUUUUCUGAAUCUUUACAAGUGCAGUAGCAGAAUUUUAAAACCUUGUAUAAAAUUCAAUUCUGGUCCAAAUGUAGUAAAAUAUAAUUCAAAGUAAAGGUUAGGAUCUCUAGAGUUACUUUGAUAAGAGAGAUAGUCCGUGCGUAGGCUUUCACAACAUAAAAACCACAUAACAAGACAGCAAGGUGCUGUUCCUACAAACCUAGAAUAACAGUCUCGGUUUUUCCUCAAUAGCUGGAGAUAGACUGCCCAGAAAAAUAUGAUUUCUAGACCUUUAGAAACUUGAGUUUAAUACGAACAUGUGGACAUGAAAUUUGUGUGAGUCCGAGUCCGUUUGUGAUAUUAAUCGUUAGAUAGAAAACCGGUCGCCAAAAGGGUAUUAGGCUAAACAAGCUAAGAAAUGAAUAAGAAUGUACGAUAGAUGGUAUUCAUUUGGAUUGUUACAGGUGUAAUUUAUUUGCUAAGUACUAUAUUGCUAAUUUGUUUCAAUGAUUUCUCAGAAAUUCAAUGGGUUCAUGAGGAUAGAAUUACAUUGUUCACCGCUGAUGGACUGGUGCAGAUUGGAGGCUCCAUCACCCCUCGCCAUGUUAGCUCUUCAGAUGUAGUACCGAAGACUAUUGGAAAAGAUAGGAUGCUGCUCAAGUAAUGGCUCAGUUAGUAUGGGAAGGACUUGGACUCGGAGGAGGGACAGAUGUCCGAAACUGGGGCAGCCUGGUUUAUCAGGCUAUUUCAAUAGCAAAUAAUGCAUGCUGGGCUAUUGGAGAACUUGCAGUUAAGGUAUGUUAAUGUUAUGUGCUACAUUCUGAUUAAAUUUUGUAGAAUUGUAUUGUGGCUGGAAUCUAAUUGGCUUAGUCAGAGUUAUGUGCAUAAUGUAGUUUUAAACUGUUAGUUUCAAAAGCCAAUUAGGACAAAUGGUUCUGCUCUUUGUGAUUGCUAUUUGACUGUUAUCUUUUAAUUUUCCACUUAUAUAUUUUUGUCUUAUGAAUUUUUUUUGUCUAAAACAACACUUGUUGGCACAAUUGACAAUAAAUGUAUGAAUUUAACUAAAUUUAACUAAAUUCCAAUGGAUAUAUAUGUGUGUAUAUAUAUUAAUGUGAAGUUGAGCGUACAUAUUAGGAGGUUAAUAAAAAGAGUAGUAGGUUUGGUAAGCUUUCACUGCUAUAUCUUUAUGCCUUUUAGGAUGGCUAUGAAUGCUAUAAACAAUGCUUGUAAGAGAUAUUGGCAUUUGGGAUUUGAUGAGUUAUAGGUUAUUCUUUUAUUG